rnacentral:rRNA from 1 species
AGUGAACGCUGGCGGUAGGCCUAACACAUGCAAGUCGAACGGCAGCACAGUAAGAGCUUGCUCUUACGGGUGGCGAGUGGCGGACGGGUGAGGAAUACAUCGGAAUCUACUUUUUCGUGGGGGAUAACGUAGGGAAACUUACGCUAAUACCGCAUACGACCUACGGGUGAAAGCAGGGAAUCUUCGGACCUUGCGCGAUUGAAUGAGCCGAUGUCGGAUUAGCUAGUUGGCGGGGUAAAGGCCCACCAAGGCGACGAUCCCUAGCUGGUCUGAGAGGAUGAUCAGCCACACUGGAACUGAGACACGGUCCAGACUCCUACGGGAGGCAGCAGUGGGGAAUAUUGGACAAUGGGCGCAAGCCUGAUCCAGCCAUACCGCGUGGGUGAAGAAGGCCUUCGGGUUGUAAAGCCCUUUUGUUGGGAAAGAAAAGCAGCAGGUUAAUACCCCGCUGUUCUGACGGUACCCAAAGAAUAAGCACCGGCUAACUUCGUG